AUCGUUUUUAAUCGGUCUCAGUGUGGAGGCAACACCACAGAAAAAGCAUCUGUUCUUAUUAGCAUUAAUAUCUGCUAUGUCCUUUACUUAAGGACCCUAUGAGGUGGGAUUUGGAUUAGGAGCUUGCUCUGUGCUCUCCAUGCAUCAGCCUGGUAUUGCAGUGUUUCCAGGAAUGGUGCAGACUUA